rnacentral:ncRNA from 1 species
AUGAUAGAGGCGCGUUUUCCGAUAAGUACGGCAGGCGAGACUUCCGCGGUCGCCACAACCUGUCCGAAAGGCGGAGAAUGCCGAAGAAUUGACGCUGCGGCAGGCGGCAGUUCUGGUCACACGGGCGAAGAGCCAUGCGACUGUCAUCAUUAAUUUGAUGGAGAGCUAUCUUA